GAAAAGGUGAUUGCCAACAGGAACCAUUGUGGAAGAAUACAAGUGAGAUAUCUUAGGGUUGACAGAUAGUUGACAGGGUAUUCAAUAUGGCGAUGACAGUGUG